rnacentral:rRNA from 1 species
AGUGAGCGCUGGCGGUAGGCCUAACACAUGCAAGUCGAACGGCAGCACAGUAAGAGCUUGCUCUUACGGGUGGCGAGUGGCGGACGGGUGAGGAAUACAUCGGAAUCUACUUUUUCGUGGGGGAUAACGUAGGGAAACUUACGCUAAUACCUCAUACGACCUACGGGUGAAAGCAGGGGAUCUUCGGACCUUUCGCGAUUGAAUGAGCCGAUUUCGGAUUAGCUAGUUGGCUGGGUAAAGGCCCACCAAGGCGACGAUCCGUAGCUGGUAUGAGAGGAUGAUCAGCAACAGUGGAACGGAGACACGGAACAGAGUACUACGGGAGGCAGCAGUGGGGAAUAUUGGAAAAUGGGCGCAAGCAUGAUACAGCAAUACCGCGUGGGUGAAGAAGGCAUUCGGGUUGUAAAGCACUUUUGUUGGGAAAGAAAAGCAGCAGGUUAAUAACACGCUGUUCUGACGGUAACAAAAGAAUAAGCACCGGCUAACUUCGUG